AUGAACGCUAGCGGCAGGCUUAACACAUGCAAGUCGAGGGGCAGCAUAAUGGAUAGCAAUAUCUAUGGUGGCGACCGGCGCACGGGUGCGUAACGCGUAUGCAACCUACCUUUAACAGGGGGAUAACACUGAGAAAUUGGUACUAAUACCCCAUAAUAUCAUAGAAGGCAUCUUUUAUGGUUGAAAAUUCCGAUGGUUAGAGAUGGGCAUGCGUUGUAUUAGCUAGUUGGUGGGGUAACGGCUCACCAAGGCGACGAUACAUAGGGGGACUGAGAGGUUAACCCCCCACACUGGUACUGAGACACGGACCAGACUCCUACGGGAGGCAGCAGUGAGGAAUAUUGGUCAAUGGACGCAAGUCUGAACCAGCCAUGCCGCGUGCAGGAUGACGGCUCUAUGAGUUGUAAACUGCUUUUGUACGAGGGUAAACGCAGAUACGUGUAUCUGUCUGAAAGUAUCGUACGAAUAAGGAUCGGCUAACUCCGUGCCAGCAGCCGCGGUAAUACGGAGGAUUCAAGCGUUAUCCGGAUUUAUUGGGUUUAAAGGGUGCGUAGGCGGUUUGAUAAGUUAGAGGUGAAAUUUCGGGGCUCAACCCUGAACGUGCCUCUAAUACUGUUGAGCUAGAGAGUAGUUGCGGUAGGCGGAAUGUAUGGUGUAGCGGUGAAAUGCUUAGAGAUCAUACAGAACACCGAUUGCGAAGGCAGCUUACCAAACUAUAUCUGACGUUGAGGCACGAAAGCGUGGGGAGCAAACAGGAUUAGAUACCCUGGUAGUCCAUGCCGUAAACGAUGAUUACUAGGUGUUGGAGGAUUGACCCCUUCAGUGCCGCAGUUAACACAAUAAGUAAUCCACCUGGGGAGUACGACCGCAAGGUUGAAACUCAAAGGAAUUGACGGGGGCCCGCACAAGCAGCGGAGCAUGUGGUUUAAUUCGACGCAACGCGAAGAACCUUACCAAGUCUUGACAUCCCGGUGACCGGACAGUAAUGUGUCCUUUUCUUCGGAACACCGGUGACAGGUGGUGCAUGGUUGUCGUCAGCUCGUGCCGUGAGGUGUCGGGUUAAGUCCCAUAACGAGCGCAACCCCUACCGUUAGUUGCCAUCAGGUGAAGCUGGGCACUCUGGCGGGACUGCCGGUGUAAGCCGAGAGGAAGGUGGGGAUGACGUCAAAUCAGCACGGCCCUUACGUCCGGGGCUACACACGUGUUACAAUGGUAGGUACAGAGGGCAGCUACCCAGCGAUGGGAUGCGAAUCUCGAAAGCCUAUCUCAGUUCGGAUUGGAGGCUGAAACCCGCCUCCAUGAAGUUGGAUUCGCUAGUAAUCGCGCAUCAGCCAUGGCGCGGUGAAUACGUUCCCGGGCCUUGUACACACCGCCCGUCAAGCCAUGGGAGCCGGGGGUGCCUGAAGUUCGUGACCGCAAGGAGCGACCUAGGGCAAAACUGGUGACUGGGGCU
rnacentral:rRNA from 1 species